UGAAUCUAAAUUGUCUUCAGAUGACUUUUAUUUGAAGGUCAGGUUUUGAAGACACUAAAUGCUAUUGUAUAGGGAGCAUAUUCAGGUAUGUUUUGUAGAAUGUAAAUUAUAUUAUGACUUUAGAUCAUUGACAUGUUUGUACCACUGACCAUGUUAUUUCUAGCAGAUACUGAGAUAAUGCAAAUAAUGAAUUUACAAACUGAAAGAGUUAUGAUUUUUAUUAUGAGCAUCAAUGAUUAGGAAAAGUUACUCAUGAAUUACUAAAGAAGAGAUUGCCAACAGUGGCAAUAUUAUCAGUAAAAUAUGAGUAAAAGUUAUUGACUACCUAUAUAACAAUUUUAAUUUGCUAUUUGUAGUGUAAAACAUAGCAACAAGUUACAAAAUGGAAUUAGAACUGGGAAAACAUUGCCUUAUUGAGUCACUUUAUUGUGCUCUGUGUGUGGUUUUUGUUUUUUCAUCUGUAAAAUUAGAGUAAUAUAGAGGAGGAGGCAUUUUGGAAAGAUUAAGUACUUAAAAAUACAUCCUGACUUUUCCAGGUGGUGAUAAAAUUAUGAUGACGAUAGCAAUGAAAAUUUAUUGAACACUUACUCUGGACCAGACACCUAAGUGUUUUACUGGCAUUUUAUUUUAAUUCAUAAUGCCAUUUUGUAUGUUAAAACAUCCAUGUCUCAUCAAUAAGUAUCAGUGGGCAAACACAUUUUUUUUUAUUUUUUAAAUUUUUUGUUCUACCAUCUCAUCCUGAUAACUCCUACCAUGUCUUCCUUAACCAAUGGCCUCUCCCUGUAAGGUGGAUUCAUCUGUUCCUGGCAGUCCCAGGCGAACAACAUUUGCUUACCUGCCCCUUCUGUCUUCUAUGCCACUUGUGUGCCGAAUACAAUUCCAAAAUUAAGAAGAUUCCAUUUUUUAAAAAGUUGCUGAAAAUAAACGUUUGGGAACAAAAGGAGGGAAUUCUAAACACACCUGUUACCCCACAAAGAAUUAUGUACUGCAUCUUUAGCUGUUGUCUGCAAGGACCCCACUUUAACCCGGGUAUUAGAGGAUCCUGAGGAAGCCUGGGAAGGCGAGUAGUCUGAAAGGACAUUAUUGAAACAAGAAUGAUGAAUUUGCACUGAUCUGAGUAGAUUCUCUUACCCUUAUGAACGAAGUGAUGAUGAUGAUGAUGACAAUGAUGAUAAUGACGACAAUGAUGACAAUGGCCAUAAAUUACAUGGCACUGAUUACAUCUGCUGCGGUGCUGCUAUGCUAAACACUCUAUCUAUAUUAUCCUUGUUAAUUAUUUAAAAGACAACCUUAUUUUUUAUCAUUAUGUGGUAUUUAUUUAUUAUCAUCAUUUUUUGUUCUGCAGAUAAGGAAAUGGAGGCUCAGUGAGGCACUGUGCUAGACUCAGGCAAUACAAGGAUGGACAAGAAAGAAAGCAUCCCUGCCUUCAUGAAACUCACAGUCUGAAGUCAAUAAACAAACAGCUGUUGCCACUUUACAGAAAGAAAAGUGUGGCUCAGACCAUAAUUUCAGGAAGAAGCAUGCAAUUUUUGGUAAUUCAAUGAAAUAUAAAGAUGAAUCAGAAGUCCGGUAUAGAAUGCAUCAUCCAUUGGUUCUGGAUUUAACAUACGAAAUCCGUAAAAGAACUGAAAUGUUCUGAAGCUUGAAUCUCUCUCAUGCAGUUAUUCUGUUGGAUGAAGUGGCAUUUCAAAUUUGCUCACUCAGAUUUGGGACAUUAGUCUCAUUCUGAAGCACACCAAUGCUUCCAGAACUACCAGCAUGCUGUAAUGAAAGGUACCGCCACGAGACUUGAAGAAGUAUCUGACUUUGUCCCAAAAUCUAUCUGAAUAAGAACAACGGACAAACAAAAAGAUAAGGAGAAGAAAGAGGAAACAAAAGCUAAAAGGUUCACC